ensembl:lncRNA
AGAGUUGGUAUGAAUUGCUCAAAGUUUAACAACAAAUUACUGUUGUUUAUGAGACUUGAAUGCUAGGCUACCAACCUCCAAGUCUUCUGCUUUAAGAUGCUUCUGGCAUGUGGAUGUCAUAGAGAGAGCAAAAUUCCUGGGCAAAUCAGACACAACUGGAAUCGUUUGCUGGCUUUCAGUUUGAGUUAAAUUAAUUUCUUGAACUUAAUUCCCUUGUUUAUAAAUCAGGAAUAAUAACUGAACCAUGGUUUCUGGUUAAAUGAUAUAGUAAACCACCAAGUACAUAAUAAGCACCCAUUAAAUGUUAGUUCUUUUCUUCUAGGUUAGCUUUCUAGUCUCAGUCUUUGAUAGUUUAAAAGUCCAACCCAGGAAGCCAGGCAUUGAUUAUUGAAGCCAACACUUUGUGCUCUCCACUAUGUGAAUAUAAAAGAAGCAUAAGGUAAUCCCUACUUUGAUUUUAUUUUUCUAUGCUUUAGUCCUGUUUUAAAGUAUUUACUCAUUAUUUCAUGUGUAUAAGUUUCUUCUAACAAUAUUAGAAGUAUUUUUAGGUUAGGGGACCACAUCUUGAUAUUUUUAUAUUUCUCCUUACACCCAUCAAACUGUAUACUCAUGGUAUCGAUUACUUUGCUAGUGGAAAAAGAACACUGAAUUGGACCAGUAGGUCCUGACUCUAUCACUGACUUUGGUAACUAUACUGGGUAUUUUGUUUGCCCUUUCAGAUCGACUCUUCAUUUUGUUCUAUAAACCAAAUCCAGCAACAUAAGAGAGAUUAUACACUAUGAUCAAGUAGAAUUUAUGCGAGGAAUGCAAGGCUGGUUUAGCGUCCAAAAAUAAAUCAAUGUAAUAUACCAUAUUGAUAAAAUAAAGCAUAAAAAUCACAUGAUCCUCUCAACACAGAAAAAGCAUUUGACAAAAAUCUAACACCCUUUAUAAAAACACUCAGCAAACUUGGAAUAGAAAGGAGCUUCCUCAACCUGAUAAAGAGCGUCUACAAUAAAACAAAACACACAGCUUACAUCAUACUUGAUACUUUCUCACUAAGAUCAGGAACAAGACAAGAUUUACACUCUUACCAAUUCUAGUCAACUUUGUACUGGAGGUUCUAGCCAGGGCAAUUAGGUAAGAAAAAGAAAUAAAAAUCAUCCAGAUUGGAAAAGAAGAAAUAAAAUGCUAUUUGCAGUUGACAUGACUUGUAUAUAGAAAAUUCUAAGGAAUCCACAAAAAAAACUAAAGUUCAGCAAAGUUGUAGGAUAUAAAAUCAACAUGCAAAAUCGACUGCAGUGCUAUCACUAGCAAGUAACAAUCCUUAAAUGAGUUAAAAAAACAAUUCCAUUGAUAAUAGCAACAAAAAGGUUAAAAUGCUAAGGAAUGAAUUUAACCAAAGAAGUGCAAGACUGUACACUGAAAACUGCAAAGCAUUGUUGAAAGAAAUUUAAAAAGACCUAACAAUAAAUACAUAAAUAAAAAGACAUCUCAGGUUCAUAGAUUGGAAGACUUAAUAUUAUUAAGAUAGCAGUAUUCUCCAAUUGGUCUACAGAUUCAAUGCAAUCACUAUCAAAAUCCCAAUUGUCUUUUUUGCAGAAAUUGACAAGAUGACCCUAAAGUUCAUCUGGAAAUGCAAGGGACCCAGAAUAGCCAAACAAUCUUGAAAAAGAACAAAGUUGGAGGACUCACAUUUCUCGAUUUCAAAACAUAGUAGAAAACUACAGUAAUCAAGACAAUGUGGUAUUGGCAUAAAGCAAGUAUACAGUGGAGUUUUCCAGAGACUACAUAUUGUGUGAUAUCACAACAGAUUGAAUGAAGAAACAGACGUAAGAAUCCAGAUGUCUUCUAUU